UGUAUGAUUAUUUUAGGUACAAUAUAAGGGAAUCCCAAUGAAUGGAUAUCCCCUGGGAAGCAGUAGAAGAAGGUCCAGGAAGCUCUUUAUGUCUGAAGUUAUAGUUAUAGUGUUAUAAGUUAUUAUAAUGUGUGAUGAAAAAUGAACCAACCAAAUAAGUGAAGAUCAGCAGGGAGAGUGCAUAUCAGGAACAUAAAUUAUCCAUUUUAAUCUACAUAAAACAGAACCUGUUUAUCAUGGUCUUACUAAGUGGAAUUUACAUCCCAAAGAUAGCUGAAAGAUCAUCGCGAGAGUUCACCCAAACCUGAAACCAAACAAGAUACUGAUUGAAAUACUGAAAUAGACGGAGCAUAUUAUGUUGCUGGGGAGAAGAAGAGACCUAUUUUUAUGGCGGUAAAAGAGAUUCCUUAAAUGGAGGCGCUAGGAUAUUCCUAGUGCAAUACAUAGACAGGAGAAUAUUGUAAAAAGUAGCAGACUAGGAAGUUAAAGAAUAAAGGAGCCCAAGAAUAUAGUGCUGAAAACAAGGGCAAUUAAUUGAUACUUUUAAUCAGUUAGACCUAAGGGGAAAUUAAAAUACCUGGAACAUCAAGUCAGUUGGUGCUAAUAAAAAAGAAGAAGUCUUAAGAUAUUCCUGCAUGUGAACAGCAAGAACCAAGAAGAUUAUGCCACAGAAGACAAAAACAUUUAUUGAAGUGAAGGAAUAGGCGUGGAAGUACAUCAGAGCAAUAAUAAAAGUGAUCAAUAAAAGGAGGCGACCGGAACUUUAGGCAAUUUUAUUGUGAAAGUAUCAGCGUCGGACCCCUUGCAUUGGGGGUGCAGGCACGUACAAGGUCGAGGAAAACUAAUUUGUCCCAAACCGGGCCGAAAGUUAGGGAGUGACAUGCCCGCCUGGACAACAACAAGAAGAAAGUCAAACUGGUUAUGCGAGUAGUUAUAGUUGCACACGUACACGGAAGGGGUCUUGGACUGCCGGAAACUUUCCGGCAAAUCAUUAAAUUAGGCUCCGGAUCGUUUCCAGAUUCCAGAUUUUCUUGGACCUGACUUCCUUGUCCCCCUUUUAGAUGGUAUUAAGAUGGACUAGCGGCAUUCGUUUCAUGUUAAUAUGAACAACACGUUUUAGGGCUCCAGGGUUCCCGUUAAUUCGUCAAGCUCUUGAAUAUGCAUAAAUUCAAAAAGUGAGUUCGAGCCAAGUUAAGUUUCUCAAACUUAAACCAUGCAGUACAAUUUCAGCGGUUAAAACUAGGUUAACUUCCUGAGGACUGAAUACAUUAAAAUGAAAUUGAGACCUAGCCGGGCGCAAAUUAACGGGUGUUUUCGGGAAAAUCGGUUGAACAGUUAACCAUUUGUUAUCUGAAGCUCACUUUUUUUAAGAAUUGACCGGUAACAUAAAAUCAAUAUGAUUGCCAUUUUCAGAGCUUUUUAUUCAAAUUUUCCAUAAUCAGAAAGACCUUUGUUCCCUUUUUAAUAAAAAUCGGAGCGGACGUCUUCUGGCGAAGAAAUGUCGAUGGGAAAUCUUCUUAAACCGGAUCGGCGCGGCGCCACGGGUAAAAUUAUGCAAAGUGAGAUAUCUCGGAAUAUAAGGUUUUAAUAAACUUGAUUAUGGAAAUGGCCGGAAUAGUUAGAUUAUUUCAAUAACGCUCAUGAUAGUGUAAUUAAACAAUUACUUUAAAUAUUGAGAUUUAGUAUCGUGCCCAUGCAGCACAAUAAUGUUUAAAAUUACCAUAUAAUAAUAAUAUGUUUAUUAACCCAUUAAAAAAACUACACUGAUAUAAUAAUGGUUUUAAAUUUAAAAAAACCAAUAGAUGUUCAUCAGCUUCCUUUAUGUCAUAAGAGAGCUGUUGAAGCCUAUACUAUAUUAACAAUACAAAAAAUCUAACUAUUAUUAUAGUAGAGGCACGCAAAGUAAGAAUUAAGCAAUUUAUAGCCUACCUAUAGUACCCAACAUACUUUAACUUAAAAUAAUUAGUUACAUAUAAUUUAAUGGAAUAAUGUGACACCAGGUCACUGACUAAGAAGUAGAAGUCCCUAAUUCGUUUCUUAGAGUUGAGCAGAGAAACCCGAAAUUUGAUUUUAUUAAUGUAUGUCGAUACAUAUGAAAGGAUUUUUUAAAUAUUAUUUGUUUAUUAGGAAAAGUAAUUGUUAAAAUAUGUUUUCUAUGUAUAUUAAUAUUGUGUACA